rnacentral:lncRNA from 1 species
GAAGAUUGAAAAGAGCACUCUUUUUCAGAGUGAAAUUACAUACAAAUUUGAAACAGCAAAAUUAUUUCAAAGCAGAAAGUGAUAUAGCUAUACUCUUCUCAGAUUUCUCAGGUUCUCUUUGCACCCUGCAUUUAAUUCUUUUAUGAUUCCAGCAUUACUCUUUUCUGAAACCUUCCAGGAAUCCUGUUCCCUUACUCUCAUUCCUUAUAUAGAGUAAUAAUCAUAAUAGUAGUAACUGGAAUCUGGGAAAAAAAUCCUCCUUUGAGACACUUUUUUCUCAAAUGCUUUCAUCUUUUUCCGUUUUAUUUUUGCUUUUAUUGAUUAAAAAAAUAGGAGUAAGUAAUGUUAGCUGCUUAUUUUUUGCCUGUAAUUGGCAAUAAUUGGUUGCAAAAGUAGUAUAAAAGAAAAGUAUGCUAGCCAUUUAUCUAGGAGGUCACAAAUUUAGGAGCAGAUCAGGAAAAAUAUGGAGGAGCACAGGAAAAAAAGUUAGAAUUAAUGCAACAGAAAGUAGAGGCUAAGAAAGUAAACAUGACCAUGUUUUCACCUGAAAAAUUUUGUUUUUACCAUUGAAGAAAUAAUCAGAAAUCACUGAAAUCUUAUAGAAAGCCAGUAAAAACACAACAGAAAGCUACUGAAUCAAAAUACAAAGUAGAUGCUUAGCAGGUAGGUGAUAAAAGGCAGUGAAAUGUUAAAAUACCUGACAUCAGCAGGAUCUUAUAUCAAGAUUGCUAGCCUACUAAGAAUCAAAAUGCUAGUGAAGCAUAAAGCUGGAAGAAUAGAAACCAUCAUUUAAGACCUGAGUCUAUAUCUUGUCAUAACUAUAAACUUUUGCCAUGAAUAUAGAGAAUCAUUUUAAAAUAUUGUUUACUUGAUUUAAAUUUAGUAUAUGUUAACAUGUGAAAUUAAUGAAGGUUACUAAAUACUUCAUGUUAUCUUGCAGAAACUGCAGAAAUACUUUCAUCUUACUUUUACCAUGUUGCAGAAUGAGCUACACCACUUUUCCGUAAAGACAGCGAGUGAACAAGUCAUCUCAAUGAAAGACAGAUCUGAAAUACGCAAUGAAGCAAUGUGCCAGCAUUUUCAACUGCAGUUACCAGGCUCGUAGGAGAUGCUUGACAAGAUAUUCACAGGACUUACAUACCAGUUUUUGAUACUGGAGAUCCUAUACCCCAACACCACUGGCUGUACUCAGGUAACAAUAGUCCAAACAUUAUUUGCACU